rnacentral:rRNA from 1 species
GAUGAACGCUGGCGGCGUGCCUAAUACAUGCAAGUCGAGCGAACGGACGAGAAGCUUGCUUCUCUGAUGUUAGCGGCGGACGGGUGAGUAACACGUGGAUAACCUACCUAUAAGACUGGGAUAACUUCGGGAAACCGUAGCUAAUACCGGAUAAUAUUUUGAACCGCAUGGUUCAAAAGUGAAAGACGGUCUUGCUGUCACUUAUAGAUGGAUCCGCGCUGCAUUAGCUAGUUGGUAAGGUAACGGCUUACCAAGGCAACGAUGCAUAGCCGACCUGAGAGGGUGAUCGGCCACACUGGAACUGAGACACGGUCCAGACUCCUACGGGAGGCAGCAGUAGGGAAUCUGCCGCAAUGGGCGAAAGCCUGACGGAGCAACGCCGCGUGAGUGAUGAAGGUCUUCGGAUCGUAAAACUCUGUUAUUAGGGAAGAACAUAUGUGUAAGUAACUGUGCACAUCUUGACGGGACCUAAUCAGGAAGCCACGGCUAACUACGU